UGAUAAUUAGUUUAAAUAAAACAAGUGAUUUCGACUCACUAAAUUAUGCACUAGCAUAAUUAUCAA
rnacentral:tRNA from 1 species